UACAGAGGUGGCGAGCGUUGUUCGGAUUUACUGGGCGUAAAGGAUGCGUAGGUGGCUAUCUAUGUCGGAUGUGAAAGCCCACGGCUCAACCGUGGAACAGCAUUCGAAACUGGGUAGCUAGAGUGCAGGAUGGGAGAGCGGAAUUCUUGGUGUAGCGGUGAAAUGCGUUGAUAUCAAGAAGAACACCGGUGGCGAAGGCGGCUCUCUGGAAUGCAACUGACACUGAGGCACGAAAGCUGGGGGAGCAAACGGG
rnacentral:rRNA from 1 species